rnacentral:lncRNA from 1 species
GGCGGGACUGCGCGGAGGCGACUACAGGCAUGGCGGUCUGGGUCCUGUCGCGCCUGCUGAGCGCUCCGCGCCUGGCGCUGGCCAAGGCGGUCCUGAGGCACGUGAAUGGCCAGGAUCAGAUUGUGCCCGGCCUGUACGCCUGUGGGGAGGCCGCCUGUGCCUCGGUACAUGGUGCCAAUCGGCUCGGGGCAAACUCGCUCUUGGACUUGGUUGUCUUUGGUCAGGCAUGUGCCCUGAGCAUCGAAGAGUCAUGCAGGCCUGGAGAUAAAGUCCCUCCAAUUAAACCAAACGCUGGGGAAGAAUCUGUCAUGAAUCUUGACAAAUUGAGAUUUGCUGAUGGAAGCAUAAGAACAUGAGAACUGCGACUCAGCAUGCAGAAGGAAUGGUCUGGAACACGGACCUGGUGGAGACCCUGGAGCUGCAGAACCUGAUGCUGUGUGCGCUGCAGACCAUCUACGGAGCAGAGGCGCGGAAGGAGUCACGGGGCACGCACGCCAGGGAAGGCUACAAGGUCGGCCUUCUCACCACGCCCACCUGCACCUGCCUUUUCCUCCCGCCUGGUGGGACUCAGCCCCACCCCUGCAUUUUCUCUGCAUUUUAUUUCGUUGCCCCAGAAGUAAAUCCAAAAAAUCCCUUUUUCCCCCUGGUAACUUUGAUCCCUGGGUUCUCGCCAUCUUCUGGAUCACCGUGACCUUUUCCUUGCUUUGGGUCGGCAUCCACUGAUGCCAGCAGUGGCAUCUCCAAGCCAAUGUGCUUUGCUGUUAGAAGGCCAAGGUUAGAAGUGCAGCUAGAGUGGCAUGACCAGGAAGUAAAUGCCAGUUUAUUAAAUAACGAGUAAGCCACUGUUUCAAGCCUGCCCUGUGGAGGAAAUGCCAGUUUAUUAAAUAACGAGUAAGCCACCAUUUCAAACCUGCCCUGUGGAGGAAAUGCCAGUUUAUUAACGAGUAAGCCACCGUUUCAGACCUGCCCUGUGGUUUGGAAAAGGUAUCAUAGAGCCUGCCCUGUGGUUUGAUUAUAGAGCCUGCCCUGUGGUCACUUGUUCUUCAGAUGAACUGAUUUUUGUGCAGAGCACACGUGUUGGAUUCUGCCUGGUAAGAGUUUUUCCCAUAUGAUAGCAAAAAACAACAGAAAGGGAAGCUUGGGGUGCAAAUGCAAGUUCAGGAUAAACCACAUCAGCAAAAGGACAAAGGCUCCACAAGGCAGGCGCACAGGCUGGUUCAGGACCGUGUGUAGGCGGCUGGUGGCAGCCUUUCCAGUCAGCUGAACAUGGUGAAUGGGAAAAUCAUUUUUAUUCACCAUGAAAUUUUACUGAUUUACCCUCCACUAGAAUAUGCUAAUGGCUGUGAUCACUGCUCAGAACUUGCUCUUGUCUCCUUGUACGUAUUAAGAGUUUCCUGCAAAGUAUGUGAAUCCGUGUUUGCCAGAAUACAGAAUAAUAAAUUUAUUUUACUUUUUUUUUAA